AACGGCGAGGAUGAUGAUUCAAUUAGAUGUGCGAGUGUUUCUGCACGCUGAGCUCAAAAACUUAAUUUGGCAAUUAUUAAUCUGACUUCGCCGUC